rnacentral:rRNA from 1 species
AGACUAACCAGGAUUCCCUUGGUAACGGCGAGUGAAGAGGGAAGAGCCCAGCACCGAAGCCUGCGGUAGUUUUGCUGUUAGGCAAUGUGGUGUGUGGGUCGGCUCGCGGGACCAUCACUCCACUCGAAGUCCAGCAUUGAGUAUGGCAAUCACUGGAUUUGGCCCAUAGAGGGUGAGAGGCCCGUACGGGUGGAGGUUCAGACAUGUACGAUGGUUCACCAGGCCGGCCUCAGAGUCGGGUUGUUUGAGAUUGCAGCCCAAAGAGGGUGGUAAACUCCAUCCAAGGCUAAAUACUGCCACGAGUCCGAUAGCGAACAAGUACCAUGAGGGAAAGUUGAAAAGUACUCUGAAGAGAGAGUAAACAGUACGUGAAGCCGCAUGCAGGUAAACGGGUGGCGUCAAGCUGCGAGCCCGGAGGAUUCAGCUGACUGGGAUGUAGUGCACGCGCGCCUGGUGCGUCGAGAGGCCGGAGUAAGAUGUGGCGGUCCACUCCUCUGCUGGGAGUGGAGUGCGGUCGGUGUGCGCUUGCGUAUGCCGGUUGUCGCUAUGCAUGCCGGGUGGGUGCCGGAGCAUGCCGCUCGUCUGUUGGGCCACCUAGUUAGUGCAUUUUCUCCGUGGUGAACACCACGACCGGUGGAACUGCCAGUCUGCUGUGAUCAAGUCGUGUUCUCCUGGCGCGUUGCUGUGUUGGGUGGGCACGAUCGCAGACGGAGUCGGUGGACGGCGCAGUGGUGCUUCGGUACUGCCGCGUGUUAUCGUGCACUCUCCGUCGUAAGCGGUUAGUGGGGUUGACUAAGUGCUGUGACCUACUUUCCCGCUAGCCGGCGGAUCACAGUGGUGAAAGGGACUGUGCAGGGCACCGGAGUUGUCCAUCUCAUUCAAUAUGGUACUCGGCACGCACGUUACAGGUGUUAUAUACAAUCGGGAUGCGCCGCUGUCUGCCUGGUGUUGGGCCUGACUGUCGUGUUGCCUGCGAAAAGUGGGUCCGGCAGUGGUUUCGAUGCUUGGUAGUCGCAGUGUGUUGCGUAUCUCGGGUGUCUGUGGUACCGGGGAUGAAAUAGUCAGUGGUGCUGUGG